rnacentral:rRNA from 1 species
CACGUAGGGCGCAAGCGUUGUCCGGAAUUAUUGGGCGUAAAGAGCUCGUAGGCGGUCCGUCACGUCCGCUGUGAAAACCCAGGGCUCAACCCUGGGCUUGCAGUGGAUACGGGCAGACUAGAGGUAGGUAGGGGAGAAUGGAAUUCCCGGUGUAGCGGUGAAAUGCGCAGAUAUCGGGAGGAACACCGGUGGCGAAGGCGGUUCUCUGGGCCUUACCUGACGCUGAGGAGCGAAAGCGUGGGAGCGAACAGGAU